rnacentral:rRNA from 1 species
AUUGAACGCUGGCGGCAUGCCUUACACAUGCAAGUCGAACGGUAACGCGGGGCGACCUGGCGACGAGUGGCGAACGGGUGAGUAAUGCAUCGGAACGUGCCCAGUAGUGGGGGAUAGCCCGGCGAAAGCCGGAUUAAUACCGCAUACGACCUACGGGUGAAAGGGGGGGAUCGCAAGACCUCUCGCUAUUGGAGCGGCCGAUGUCAGAUUAGCUAGUUGGUGGGGUAAAAGCCUACCAAGGCGACGAUCUGUAGCUGGGCUGAGAGGACGACCAGCCACACUGGGACUGAGACACGGGCCAGACUCCUACGGGAGGCAGCAGUGGGGAAUUUUGGACAAUGGGCGAAAGCCUGAUCCAGCCAUGCCGCGUGCGGGAAGAAGGCCUUCGGGUUGUAAACCGCUUUUGUCAGGGAAGAAAUCUUCUGAGUUAAUACCUCGGGAGGAUGACGGUACCUGAAGAAUAAGCACCGGCUAACUACGUGCCAGCAGCCGCCGUAA